rnacentral:rRNA from 1 species
AUUGAACGCUGGCGGCAUGCCUUACACAUGCAAGUCGAACGGUAACAGGUCUUCGGAUGCUGACGAGUGGCGAACGGGUGAGUAAUACAUCGGAACGUGCCUAGUAGUGGGGGAUAACUGCUCGAAAGAGUGGCUAAUACCGCAUGAGAUCUACGGAUGAAAGCAGGGGAUCGCAAGACCCUGUGCUACUAGAGCGGCCGAUGGCAGAUUAGGUAGUUGGUGGGAUAAAAGCUUACCAAGCCGACGAUCUGUAGCUGGUCUGAGAGGACGAUAAGCCACACUGGGACUGAGACACGGCCCAGACUCCUACGGGAGGCAGCAGUGGGGAAUUUUGGACAAUGGGCGAAAGCCUGAUCCAGCAAUGCCGCGUGCAGGAUGAAGGCCUUCGGGUUGUAAACUGCUUUUGUACGGAACGAAAAGCCCCGGGUUAAUACCCUGGGGUCAUGACGGUACCGUAAGAAUAAGCACCGGCUAACUACGUGCCAGCCGCCGCCGUAA